GUGCUGAACAAGACGCCCGGCAACGAU
rnacentral:sRNA from 1 species